CAUCAAUCAAUGAUCUUGGUC
rnacentral:miRNA from 1 species